CCUACGGGUGGCAGCAGUGAGGAAUAUUGGUCAAUGGGCGCGAGCCUGAACCAGCCAAGUCGCGUGAGGGAAGACGGUCCUAUGGAUUGUAAACCUCUUUUGUCGGGGAGCAAAAGACGCCACGCGUGGCGUUCCGAGAGUACCCGAAGAAAAAGCAUCGGCUAACUCCGUGCCAGCAGCCGCGGUAAUCCGGAGGAUGCGAGCGUUAGCCGGAUUUAUUGGGUUUAAAGGGUGCGCAGGCGGAAGAUCAAGUCAGCGGUAAAAUUGAGAGGCUCAACCUCUUCGAGCCGUUGAAACUGGUUGUCUUGAGUGAGUGAGAAGUAUGCGGAAUGCGUGGUGUAGCGGUGAAAUGCAUAGAUAUCACGCAGAACUCCGAUUGCGAAGGCAGCAUACCGGCGCUCAACUGACGCUCAUGCACGAAAGUGUGGGUAUCGAACAGGAUUAGAUACCCCGGUAGUC
rnacentral:rRNA from 1 species